AGCGAACGCUGGCGGCGUGCCUAACACAUGCAAGUCGAACGUGAAAGGGAGCAAUCCCAAGUAAAGUGGCGUACGGGUGAGUAACACGUAGGUAAUCUACCCCAGAAUCUGGAAUAACCGGCCGAAAGGCUGGCUAAUACUGGAUAGAGCGACGGUAUCCGUAAUUGGGUUUUUCGGGAAAGGGAGCCUGUAAAAAGGCCUUCGUUCUGGGAUGAGCCUGCGUCCCAUCAGCUAGUUGGUGAGGUAAAAGCUUACCAAGGCAAUGACGGGUAGCUGGUCUGAGAGGACGAUCAGCCACACUGGAACUGAAACACGGUCCAGACUCCUACGGGAGGCAGCAGUGGGGAAUCUUGCGCAAUGGACGAAAGUCUGACGCAGCAACGCCGCGUGAGUGAAGAAGGCCUUCGGGUUGUAAAGCUCUGUCGAGUGGGACGAAAAUGCUUGGAGUUCACAGCUCCAGGAACUGACGGUACCACUAAAGGAAGCACCGGCUAACUCCGUG
rnacentral:rRNA from 1 species